rnacentral:rRNA from 1 species
UACGUAGGGUGCAAGCGUUAAUCGGAAUUACUGGGCGUAAAGGGCGCGUAGGCGGUUCGUUAAGUCUGUCGUGAAAUCCCCGGGCUCAACCUGGGAAUGGCGAUGGAUACUGGCGAGCUAGAGUGUGUCAGAGGAUGGUGGAAUUCCCGGUGUAGCGGUGAAAUGCGUAGAGAUCGGGAGGAACAUCAGUGGCGAAGGCGGCCAUCUGGGACAACACUGACGCUGAAGCACGAAAGCGUGGGGAGCAAACAGG